UAUAUGUAUAAUGAUCUGAGGAUCAUUUUAUGUUUGUUCUAUGAAUAAGACUUAUAGUCAUGAUAAUGUACUAUGAUGAAUUGAUUACUGAAGGUUUUUGGUUUCGUUUUAUCUCACCAUUUUGAUUUCUCUUUUUAUAGUCAACAUAAUUAAAUAACUAAUAACUAUUUCUCUUUUUAUAGUGACAAAAUUGCUAUUAAAAUAAAUUGAAUAACUAGUCUGUAUGUACUGGACUUUUCUGGGGACCA
rnacentral:lncRNA from 1 species